CUCUACCUUGGCUGGAGUAUCCAGGCUGGCCACUGUGUUGCCUGAAGCCAUUUGCUGAGGCCAUGACAGGUGACCCAGACUUGAGGCGAGAGAGGUCCUCACUGGACAAAUCUUAAAACAUCCAGUGACCUAAGCAGCAGCAACACUGGGCAAGGAGCUAGAGGUGCCAGGCUAACUCUAAUUUCCUGAACAGAAGGCUUCAGAUGCCUCUGCAAUCUCUAGGAAUUGCUGGAACUAAUGAUCUUCCACCAAUCUUCCAUGGAACUUCAUAAAAGAGACCAGCUUACAGAUCUUCCCAAUCAAAUCAACCAUUGGUGGCACACUGUUCUUCGUGUCAUGAGGAAUUUAAGAAACAUUUCAAGCAAACUACAAUAGCCAAGCUUACCUGCAUCCUCCUCAGCAGUAGUUUUAUAAUGGGACCAGUAGAUGACAUGCCUAAGAGCAUCUUCAGUGGACACAGCAGAACCGUCCGGGUUUGCAUAAAACAGAAGCAGUGGCUGAAAAUGACAUCUGGUGCACUUGGAGACCACGUCUUUCCAUUUAGUCCCAACCUAAAAAGAUUUCAAGGUAAAUAAUCUACCGGACACUCAUUAGAUGAACUCAAAAUUAAUGAUCCUUAAAGAAAAAGGGAUAUAAAAGGUGACUGCCAUCUCCCAACUCCCAUGGAUCCAUCAAAACUAAUCCAUGAGUGACAUUCCACACACAAGGAAUUGUCAGCGUCAAAAUGGAUCAUAGGCACAAAAAUGAGAAAGUUUUUAAGUUACAAGGAACUUACUUACAAAAUCAGUGGCCUGUUUCCCCAAUACCAAAUUCAACUAGAUUAUAUAAGGAAAAAAAGUCAAAAAGUGUUACUUUGACUAUUAAAAAUAAAAACUGAGUACAUCAAA